rnacentral:rRNA from 1 species
CACGCCGUAAACUAUGGGUGCUAGCCGUCGGAUAGCUUGCUAUUCGGUGGCGCAGCUAACGCAUUAAGCACCCCGCCUGGGGAGUACGGCCGCAAGGUUAAAACUCAAAGGAAUUGACGGGGGCCCGCACAAGCGGUGGAGCAUGUGGUUUAAUUCGACGCAACGCGAAGAACCUUACCAGCUCUUGACAUUUCCUGACUGGUUCCAGAGAUGGAAUCGUCCCAGCAAUGGGCAGGAGGACAGGUGC